CAGCCGCCGCGGUAAUACGAAGGGUGCAAGCGUUAAUCGGAAUUACUGGGCGUAAAGCGUGCGUAGGCGGUGAGUUAAGUCUGCUGUGAAAUCCCCGGGCUCAACCUGGGAAUGGCAGUGGAUACUGGCUCGCUAGAGUGUGUCAGAGGAUGGUGGAAUUCCCGGUGUAGCGGUGAAAUGCGUAGAGAUCUGGAGGAAUACCGGUGGCGAAGGCGGCCCCCUGGACAAAGACUGACGCUCAGGUGCGAGAGCGUGGGGAGCAAACAGGAUUAGAUACCCGUGUAGUCCCUGUAUCUUAUAC
rnacentral:rRNA from 1 species